AACGAACGCUGGCGGCAUGCCUAACACAUGCAAGUCGAACGAGACCUUCGGGUCUAGUGGCGCACGGGUGCGUAACGCGUGGGAACCUGCCCUUAGGUUCGGAAUAACUCCCCGAAAGGGGUGCUAAUACCGGAUAAUGUCUUCGGACCAAAGAUUUAUCGCCUUUUGAUGGGCCCGCGUUGGAUUAGCUAGUUGGUAGGGUAAAAGCCUACCAAGGCGACGAUCCAUAGCUUGUCUGGGAGGAUGAUCAGCCACACUGGGACUGAGACACGGCCCAGACUCCUACGGGAGGCAACAGUGGGGAAUAUUGGACAAUGGGGGAAAGCCUGAUCCAGCAAUGCCGCGUGAGUGAUGAAGGCCUUAGGGUUGUAAAGCUCUUUUACCCGGGAUGAUAAUGACAGUACCGGGAGAAUAAGCUCCGGCUAACUCCGUG
rnacentral:rRNA from 1 species